ACUGCGCGCCAGGCCAGGUUCCUGAGAGCAGACAGCGCGGGCUGGGAGCGCCGGCAAGGGCGGCCCUCGCGCACCUGGCUGCCAGCCCGCAGGGGGCUCGCACGCAGACCUGCCCUUGCCACCUCAGCGCUCGGGUGCGGGCUGGGGGCGGUGGAGCCACGAAAGGUGGUGCCGAGAGCGGAGCGCAGGACAGCGCAGGAGCCCCGGCGCAUCGCGGCGCGCACAGACCCAGGAUUACUUCAUGCACAUAAAAGAAAACGCAACUACAGUGGACCCUGAACAACCUAUGGCCUGCAGCCACUGAAGAAUGCUUGCAUAAGGAGCUCUUCUCUGCACAUACCCCGACACAGUGAUGGUAUCUUGCAGCUGCUGCUUCUGUCCAAGGCACUGCAGCCUACUCGUCAAAAGCCCGAAGCCCAGCUCUGCCAGCAGUGCACUGUGUGCUCUUAGGAAACAGAGAAGCAAAGAAGUUAGCAAGCUUGUUUUGGCAGAAGAAAAAACACAAAAUACCCAACCACAGAUCCUCAAAAAUAUUGCUAAGCACUAAUUUUGCUAACAUGUUAGACAGCCUUCGGAUCUAGGCAAUCUUGUUCCUCAGCUGGAAAGAGUUCCUGCCAGCCAUGUGAUUCCAAAUCCACCCUGGACAUAUGGGGAUAAUGAGAAAAUCAGCUCCGGCCUUCCCUGGCCUUCCAGCCAAGUGAAUGGGGGCAUCCCCUGGUGCUUCAGCCCGGGGCCCACCCAGAGGAUGCUAGCUGGCCUGCAGAGGCCUCAACCAUGCCCUCCUGGACUCAGGUAAGACUGAGGUUUCCAUGCCCUCAAAACAAUUGUUCAGACAAAAACUCACUGCCCAGGUCAAAGUCACAGCACCAGAAAGCCAACCUGAGGAUGAAGACAAAGCUCUUUGUUGGCACAGUCCCCUGAUCAUUCGAGGUCAGCAUCUCCAUCAAAAUGGACCCAAUGCUGAGGCAAGAAGGAGAACAUCACUGUUAAGAAGGUAAUGAGUCACAAAUGCUAUUUCGAUGGUUUUCUUUGAAAGAAAUACACAGAACCAAACCAAUUUUAAUUAAAGAUCUUGUCUUUGUAAUCAGGCAGCCACAAAUGAAGGCAAAACUGCUUUCAUGUGGCAUAAUAUACACAGAGCUGAACUAGUUUUCCCAUAAAAGGGCAGGUUCUUUUCUUCAAAUAAGAAAAGAGUUUGUUCCUAACAAUAUGGGGGAUGCAACAGAAAGCUGUCUUUUGCAAAGUAUAAAAUUGCAGAUCCUCCCGUGGAAGCCAUUUCUUGAUGCUAAACCAAUGCGAACGUUUGCCAAACGCACAUGCGAGCCGGGAUUAUCCUACCCUUUGAGAUUAGACAUGUGAUCCUGAUUUUUAAGUGAAAAACGCAGCCAGAGGCCAAAUAAACAUACCUACAAGUACAUCGAAAGCUCAAAUGGUUGAGAAAUGAUUGUAACACACCCCGGUGUGUAUUUCUGAGGAAGAAUCAACAUGCACAUGGAAAUUGAUGUUUUGAUUUUUAAUUUUAAAACGACGACAGAACUGAAAUACCUCCCCUAACUAGGUCCACUGAAACCAGUGAGGAGAUAAUCAUUUUCAGUUAAAUAUGCAUGUAAUUUAAUAAUCCACAGAUGGAAAAUGCAUUUGAGGUGGACUGAACACAGCCAGGAGUUUUUGCUUAUCGACAGCACUGAAUCCUGCCUUGACUAGAGAGACUCGUCAUGUGAUCAACUGUGGCCAGAGGGCAUCCUGCAGACAGCUCCUGUCACACCACACUGACCAGACUCUUAUGAGUAUUUAAGCAUCUUCAGGGAAGCGAUUGACUGUCUUAUAAUGGUCUUACAAGUACGGAACUUUAUUACCUGCUAAUAAUCAGAGCACAUGAUGGCACAAUAGAAUAUACGAGUGAAGUUCUAAAUGCAAGGUUGUUCUUAUUCUGUGAGUGGCAAAACUCAUGCAGUGAGCAGAUAAAGCUGGCAGGAGGCAUUGGCGCCCUAAUGCUGGGCACUAACCACCUGCCCGGACUGCGAAUAUCUGUUGGGUCCUUUCUAUAUCUGGUCUAUUCUCGUGUUUGAUUAUAUCCUGGUGGCAAGAAUAGCAAAAUCAACUCUCCUUCCUAUCCCAUGUGGAGAGGCAUGAUUUGAGUCAGAGAGCAUUAUCCUCUCUGCGUUAUCCAACCCCAUGUCCCAUGAUGCACUUUGUAGACAAGCAAGUGUCCCUGGUGGAGAAUCCACAGCCACACAUCCUCAUUGGUUGCAAGGAUCAGUGUCCAAUAUCUACUGCCAUGAUCAUUCUCAGUUUUACAUCCACAGAGCUUCAUAGAAUUCUAACACCACAGGUCCAAGUAGAGGUUUUGGCCUCAGAGUGGGCUAGAUUCCACCUCUGACAGCAGCUGUGGGACUGUUUUUCCAUCUGUAAAAUGGAGACAAGAGUAUCACCUACCUCAUGGUGUUGGUGGGAUCGUUAAACAGAAUUCCGAUCAUGAAACCCUUAGCCUGCUCCCUGCAUAGGCUGCAUGCGCUCAGUGAGCUAUGGCUCUGUUUCAUGCUGACUUUACCAUCAUGUAAGCAGUUUUAAAAAUGCUAGAAGCUUUAGUCAUAGAAUUACCAUAUGAUACAGCCUACUGCAGAGUCCAGAGGCUGAGGCAGGAGAGUUACUUGAACCUGGGAGGCGGAGGUUGCAGUGAGCCAAGAUCGCGCCACUGCACUCCAGCCUGGGCAACAGAGUGAGAUUCUGUCUCAACACAAAAAAGAAGACAUGUGUCCCCAUCACAGUAUCAUACAGAGUGCUUCCACUGCCCUAAAAUACCCUGUGCUCUUCCUAUUCAUCCCUCUCUUCAACCCCAGCAACCACUGAUCCUUUUACCAUCUCCAUGGUUUUGCCUUUCCCAGAAUGUCAUAUUGUUGGAAUCAUACGCUAUGUAGCCUUUGCAAAUGGGCUUCUUUCACCGAGCAAUGUGCAUUGAAGGUGCCUCUAUGACUUUUCAAGGGUUGAUAGCUCAUUCCUUUUUAUUGCUAAAUAAUAUUCCAUUGUCUGAAUGUACCACAUUUUGUUUAUCCAUUCACCUACUAAAGGACAUCUUGGUUGCUUCCAAGUUUGGGCAAUUAUAAAUAAAACUGCUAUAAAC
rnacentral:lncRNA from 1 species